UUAGCUCAUAUUUGUAUGGAAUGGGAUCGUUUGCCUACGUUUGACGCUAGGGGCGCUGUUCCAACUGCAUACAAAAUUGAGUUA
rnacentral:pre_miRNA from 1 species